CAGUAGCCGCGGGAAAACGAAGGGGGCUAGCGUUGUUCGGAUUUACUGGGCGUAAAGGGCGCGUAGGCGGAUUUGUAAGUCAGGGGUGAAAUCCCGAGGCUCAACCUCGGAACUGCCUUUGAUACUGUGGAUCUUGAGUCCGGGAGAGGUGAGUGGAACUGCGAGUGUAGAGGUGAAAUUCGUAGAUAUUCGCAAGAACACCAGUGGCGAAGGCGGCUCACUGGCCCGGAACUGACGCUGAGGCGCGAAAGCGUGGGGAGCAAACAGGAUUAGAUACCCCCGUAGUCCCUGUCUCUUAUAC
rnacentral:rRNA from 1 species